UGCUUUUGUUAGAGACGUAGUAGUCACAUAACACAAUUUCAUAUAUAUAUAUAUAUAUAUAUAUAAAGUAAAAGUUUUAAUUGAUUCUUGGUAUUUUAUUAUUAUUCAAAAGAUCCUAUAUUUUAGGUAUUAAAUUAUAUUUAGCUAAAAUUUUUAAUUUGUUAAUUCUUCCUUAAUAAUUAGCAAUGUUUUAAAAACCGGACCGGACCGGCCAGUCCAACCGUCAACCGGUCACCAUUCCGGUCCGAUCUGGUCAUUUGGACCGAAUUGAGAUCGAACCGGGGUUAAACCGCUCGAACCGACGGUUCAACCGGUGAACCGGACAAACCGGCCGGUUCCAAGGGAACCGGCCGAUUCAAAUAAUUUUAAUUUAAAAAAAAAAUUACAAAAUAAAAAUAUUACUGUAGGUAAGCUGCAAGCAUGAAAGGAAGGAUUCCAUGUUGGGCCUGUCUUAUGACAAGCCCACAUACCCACUCCAAUUACCCUAGGCCUCUUUUUUGAGCCCACAAGACAAUGCCAAGCCUUUGCUGAGGAUGGCUUUUAUAGGAGUCAUUUGACUCCUUGUUCCUCUCAUAUUCCGAUGUGGGAUUGCAUUUUAUCAAUGAAAAAAAACAUAACAAAACUCCACCAAGAGGAUUUGAACCUUGGACCAAUCUUUUACUCUAGUCCACCUAGG
rnacentral:lncRNA from 1 species